GCUCGAGUGGCGAACGGGUGAGUAACACGUGAGUAACCUGCCCUUGACUUUGGGAUAACUUCAGGAAACUGGGGCUAAUACCGGAUAGGAGCUCCUGCUGCAUGGUGGGGGUUGGAAAGUUUCGGCGGUUGGGGAUGGACUCGCGGCUUAUCAGCUUGUUGGUGGGGUAGUGGCUUACCAAGGCUUUGACGGGUAGCCGGCCUGAGAGGGUGACUGGCCACAUUGGGACUGAGAUACGGCCCAG
rnacentral:rRNA from 1 species